rnacentral:rRNA from 1 species
GCAGUCGAACGGGGGUGCUUAUGGAAGGGGUGCUUGCACUCUGGAAGUAACGAUCUUAGUGGCGGACGGGUGAGUAACGCGUGGGUAACCUGCCCCAUACCGGGGGAUACCACCUGGAAACAGGUGCUAAUACCGCAUAAGCGCACGGGAGCGCAUGCUCCUGUGUGAAAAACUCCGGUGGUAUGGGAUGGACCCGCGUCUGAUUAGCCAGUUGGCAGGGUAACGGCCUACCAAAGCGACGAUCAGUAGCCGGCCUGAGAGGGUGGACGGCCACAUUGGGACUGAGACACGGCCCAAACUCCUACGGGAGGCAGCAGUGGGGAAUAUUGCACAAUGGGGGAAACCCUGAUGCAGCGACGCCGCGUGAGUGAAGAAGUAUUUCGGUAUGUAAAGCUCUAUCAGCAGGAACGAGACAAGACGGUACCUGACUAAGAAGCCCCGGCUAACUACGUGCCAGCAGCCGCGGUAAUACGUAGGGGGCAAGCGUUAUCCGGAAUCACUGGGUGUAAAGGGAGCGUAGACGGCUGUGCAAGCCUGAAGUGAAAGGCGGGGGCCCAACCCCUGGACUGCUUUGGGAACUGUACGGCUGGAGUGCAGGAGAGGUAAGUGGAAUUCCUAGUGUAGCGGUGAAAUGCGUAGAUAUUAGGAGGAACACCAGUGGCGAAGGCGGCUUACUGGACUGUAACUGACGUUGAGGCUCGAAAGCGUGGGGAGCAAACAGGAUUAGAUACCCUGGUAGUCCACGCCGUAAACGAUGAUUACUAGGUGUCGGGGGGCAGAGGCCCUUCGGUGCCGCAGCAAACGCAAUAAGUAAUCCACCUGGGGAGUACGUCC